rnacentral:misc_RNA from 1 species
UCAAUAAAAAAAAUAAUUAAAAAAAAAAAUCUAUCUUGGGCGUUCUCCUUCAACUGUAUCAGAGCUUGGCCCAAGAUUUGACCUUCCCUUCACAGAAUUAAUCUUCUCCAGCUUCAAACCNCUUCAAACCAGCUCUGAACCUUUCAAUGAAGUUCUCAGCUUUUGUGUUCACGUCAGGACUUGGACAGAACAAUGCCGUUCUUGAAUCGCCACCGAAUUCUUUUCUUGCCAUUGGACUCGAUUCCUUAUCUGAUGGGUCCUCACUAUCCAAAUCUGGAGAUCCACUUCGCGAACUGUUAAAA